UUUUAUUUUAUUUUUCAUUUUUUUUUUUUCCUUUUAUU
rnacentral:sRNA from 1 species